rfam:Populus trichocarpa scaffold_15_contig_138, whole genome shotgun sequence.
CACGUUGUUCAUUCCUCUUCCUAAAAUGGCUUCUUCUCCUUUAGUUGUUGCAAUUAUAGGAGAGGAGAAUCCAUUUUAGGAAGGGAAUGAAUACUGUG